UACAAACACUCUGGAGAGAUCGGCCACCGCGCAAGCGGGCGCGCCGGCGCCGAAGGGGCACGAAGCAGGCGACCUCGUCCGCCGCUUCCAAACUCUCAGGCAAAAGGACAGAGGGGCGCCC
rnacentral:ncRNA from 2 species